AAUUUGAACUGUUAGGUGAGACUCCUACGUGAAAAUAUGCUGUUGCCCAGCAACAUCCAGAGAUGCCAACGGGUUAAACAGGGAUCGUCGAUUUAAGGCCCUCCCCAGACAGCUGGUUACUAACUUUGUAGUAACGUUACGUCACGUAGUGUUAAAACUGAACGACGAGUGAAUUAA
rnacentral:sRNA from 20 species